rnacentral:RNase_P_RNA from 2 species
GGAGGGGGCCAAGCAGCAGCGCCGAACUGUCACAUGAACAGACGGUGAGGAAAGUCCGAACACCGGAGGGCAGGGUGCCGGGCAAUACCCGGGCGCCGCGAGGCGAUGGAAAGUGCAACAGAAAAGAUACCGCCCCUCGGCUCCGCUCGGGGCAUCGCCGCAGUGGCGUCGUUCCGAGCGGAGUCGAGGAGUAAGGGUGAAAUGGCGAGGUAAGAGCUCACCGCGCCGUGCUGUAAAGCAGGCGGCAUGGCAAACCCCACCUGGUGCAAGACCAAGCAUACAGCCGCAUGAGAACGGCCCGUUCGAGGCUGAGGGUAGGUCGCAAAGAGCCGCAUGGAAACAUGCGGUCAAGAUAGAUUGCUGCAUAAACAGGAUUCGGCUUAUGUCCCCCUCCUCUC